CAGCCGCCACGGGAAUACGAAGGGUGCAAGCGUUAAUCGGAAUUACUGGGCGUAAAGCGUGCGUAGGCGGUCUGUUAAGUCUGUUGUGAAAUCCCCGGGCUCAACCUGGGAAUGGCAAUGGAUACUGGCAAGCUAGAGUGUGUCAGAGGAUGGUGGAAUUCCCGGUGUAGCGGUGAAAUGCGUAGAGAUCGGGAGGAACAUCAGUGGCGAAGGCGGCCAUCUGGGACAACACUGACGCUGAGGCACGAAAGCGUGGGGAGCAAACAGGAUUAGAUACCCCCGUAGUCCCUGUCUCUUAUAC
rnacentral:rRNA from 1 species